rnacentral:misc_RNA from 1 species
UGCACAGCGCGCGAGCAAGAGAGCCGACGACGACGACGACGAAGAGAAGAGAGGCGUUGCGCAGAGAGAGGACGCGAGUGGAAGAGAAAUAGAAAGACGAGGUUCGACGAAACGCGAGGGAUGGGGACCACAGAACCAGACCAGCCUGUGCAUAAACGUACACGUCGUCGGGUUGACCUCGAUGAAGGUCCGGUUUGGUCAACAUCGAGAGAGGAUGAGCAGCUGUCCCUCCAGCAGUUGCUGCCGCACCCGGUGGAAUGCCUAAUCCGAGAAGAGCAGCGGAGGCUGACGUAGGAACAGGAAGUCCCGCUCCAGGACCAAGUCCUGGAAGUCCAGGUAUACCUGGAUGUGGACCCAUCGCAGCACCUGGUGGUAGCUGCUGGGCAUGCACCUGCUGAAGAAUCCUUGGCAAGUCUGGCCUUUGUUGCUGUAAUGGAGGGGGAAAAAUGACUUUUAUCACCUUGAAGAUUAAUCAUCGGUCGUGAUAUUUCUAGUUAAUGGACUUGGAUAAACAGUUAUUGUUUCCCGCUAAGUUUAAAAUCGAUUUUGAUCAAAGUUAUAAAUUAACAAGUUAAUUGUAAAAGUAUUCGUAAAAGUAAAAAAUAAAAGUAUUUGCAAGUAUUAUUAAGUUCUAUAUUUUAUUUUCAUAUAAAAGUAAUAUUAGAUGGUACGAAAUUUAAGAUACGUAAAUGUUACAAUAAAUAUGAUGGUGUGCCACUUUUUGUAGCCAUUGUAGGAACGAUCAUUGGAUGAAAUUCUAGAGUUGUUAUCAUUUUUGUGAACAUCUGCUAUCAUUAUAUCAUAAUCGUAUAAUGAAUGAUACAAAAAAGCUAAGGUUGUUACAGCAUUUAUUUUUUGAUAUCCCUAAAGUGAUCUGAAUCUUGCUUAUCAAACUGUUAACGAGUUUAGUUCUAGGAAAGUAACAAUUUUCAGCAUAAUUCGAUAGAAAGUAGAAAAGAUUAGAUAAAAUAUUAUGGCAUUAUGUGUAGAUAGAAGUAUCGAUAAAAGUAAACAAUUCCUAACGUUUCACUAUCAAAACGUUACAAAAAAUAUCUAAAGCAGUAUAAAGGUAUAGACAUCGCAUCGACCCUUCUUUUAAUUGCGCAAUUUUCAAUUCGUUGUAAAAGGUAUCUAGAAAUUUAGUAUAGAAAGCAAGUUGUAAU